UUCAUUUCCUUUUCCUGAGUCUUAUCAUAGUCAGCAUAUUCCAAUAUUCUCAGAUAAUUUAAUAGUCAGACAUGGGGCUUUAUCCACAUAAAUAAAGAGUUUAUAUGAUUUGUAUAUCAGCCAUGCCGCUCUGUAGUUACCGUGGAAACACCGUCAUCUUCUA